UUAAAUUUUAUAUUAUAAUUAAUAAAAUCCAUCAUUAAAUUAAAUUAAAAGUUUUUUUAUGAUUAAUAAAAUCUAUUGUUAAUCAAUCAUUUUAUUAAUUUAAAAAUUAGAUAGUUUUGAUUAGAGGGUCACAAAACCUAAUUUCUACAUCUUUUGUCCUUCUGUUCCUUCUUAUUUUUGAACUUGAAGUGGACUCUCUCUCCCCUUCUCUCUCUCUCUCUCUCUCUCUCUCUCUCUCUCUCUCUCUCUGUGAUAGUCGUAGCCGUCACUGCUUCCUAUAUCUCUCUCUUGUUCACUCCCUAAGCCUUUCCUUUUUCUUUGUGAAACCGAGCCCCUCUAAGAAGGUUGAGUUGCUUCGUCUCAUUCAAAAGCCUAACCAGGGUGAACUUCAAUAUUGAGCUGUUUUAACAAAGAGGAUUGAACCCAAAGGAUUUCAUUUUCCUCUCUAGAUUGUCCUUCUGCAGGUUUGAAUUUCAAUUUCCUCUCUAGAUUGUGCUAUUUCGAUUGACAUUUUAAAGAAAUAUUUGAUCAAAUCUCACUAAUUUUGAAUCCUAACUUUAGAGCAGGCCGUAUUUUGUGCUUGUUUGCUUGCUUUUGUUCAAUGAAAUUUUGAGUUUGUGGUU